rnacentral:lncRNA from 1 species
UGAGACCAAAACAGGAUUUUAAAAAAGUAACGAAUACCAGCCAAACAUUACACAAACAUGGUAGGCAGUACAUCAUAUAACAAAAUCCCGAUUUAAAUACAUCAUCAUUGUGCCCUAAAAAAUGGAUCUGUCCAAAAAUCCUACACCGUUUGUUGAUUGACCGAUCACAGCCAUCAGGCCACGACCGAUCGAUGACAGAAAAAAAGGGGGAAGAAACGACGCAAUUAUACUAUACUUAUUCCUCGCAAGUUGGUGAUAAAAAUCUCUGGUAGGUAGAAUAUAACUGACACAACAGUCUUCGAACUGGAGAUACAAACAUGAUGAACACAGAGGCGAAGUCGUCGCCACUUAUCUUAUCUCGAUUGUGUAGGGGAGCAGAGGAGGCCCGAGGCGUCCGCCCCGACCACCGAGAGCUCGCAUAUGCUGCACAGCUGACCCUCGACCGAGGGCACGAACCGGGACGCGCAGUAGGGGCAGGAGACGUCCUUCUGCCCACGGUAGAUCGGGACGAAGGUGGCCCCGCAGACGACGAACGGGUUUCUGAAGUCGUAGUUCAGCUGGUGGGCGUCCUUCCUGUCGCCGCAGGCCUGCAGGACCUGCCGGGCCUUCUUUGCCUGGGCCUCGUUCGGGCCGUUGUCCAGGAGCAUGCGGGCAAAGUUUGCCGCGGUGGCGUAGUUCCCACCCUUGAAGCAGAGGCCCAUGGCGCUGGUGAGGACGAGGCGCAUGUGAACCUUCUGCAGCUUGCAGUUGGUGAAGUAUGCUGCCAGCUCCUGCUGCCGGGUGGCGUCGUUUUUCAGCUCCUUCCUCUUGACUUCCAUCCUGAGACCAAGGACGUACUCCCUCACUAUCUCGAUAAGCUCCUUAACUUCAUCGACCUCUCUCCGUGAGUCCACGACAAGGAGCGGGAUGGUGUAGAGGAUGUUGAGGAACUGCCUCAGUGCCUCUGGGAACUUGCCCUCGGUUGUGGCUUUGUAUGCAGCCUUCAGCUUGUCGUCCAUUUGCGCAAAGCUAAACACAAGUGCAGGUGGGCCCCUCACAUUGGGACUGGCAGAUUCACUCCAGCCUUUCUCAACAGCAAUAGGUAUCACUGGAGCACUUGCAAAUGCACGCAGAAAGGUAUGACUGCCCAUAUGUGCAUCAAGAAACAAGGCCUUCAAAGGAGCAAAGUUCUUGAUGCCCAACUGGCGGCUAAGCAGACGCAUUGCUGUGUCAAAGUUCCCAGCUGCAGCAUGCUCCCCAGCAAGAGAUGACUUCUGAGUCCAGAUUUGACUGACAGGCAUGCCUGGUGUGGGAGCCACGAACAAAGCAGAGCGUUCCGGACCUCUAGCUUUCGGUGUAUCUGCCUCCGGUGGCAAUUCCAGAUCUUCGAGGUCCCAGCCACCUUCCUCGUCCCCAUCCUCUUCAUUUGUUUCACUUUCAUCAGCAUGGCCAGC